CUUCCAGUAGCACCUUAGAGACGAACUAAGUUUAUUAUUGGUAUGAGCUUGGUGCAUGCACACGAAAGCUCAUACCAAUAACAAACUUAGUUGGUCUCUUAAGGUGCUACUGGAAG